rnacentral:rRNA from 1 species
UACGGGGGGGGCAAGCGUUGUUCGGAAUUACUGGGCGUAAAGCGUGCGCAGGCGGUUGUGCAAGACAGGUGUGAAAUCCCCGGGCUUAACCUGGGAACUGCAUUUGUGACUGCAUAGCUAGAGUACGGUAGGAGGGGGAUGGGAAUUCCGCGUGUAGCAGUGAAAUGCGUAGAUAUGACGGAGGAACACCGAUGGCGAAGGCAAUCCCCUGGACCUGUACUGACGCUCAUGCACGAAAGCGUGGGGAGCAAACAGG